rnacentral:tRNA from 1 species
GGCGCCAUAGCCAAGCGGUAAGGCAGAGGUCUGCAAAACCUCGAUUCCCCGGUUCAAAUCCGGGUGGUGCCU